CGAUUGGAGGGCAAGUCUGGUGCCAGCAGCCGCGGUAAUUCCAGCUCCACGAGCGUAUAUUUGAGUUGUUGCAGUUAAAACGUGCGUAGUUGAUGAUCAGGGGCCGCGCUGAUGGCAAGCACCCUCCGGGGUGGACUGCCGGCCGGCACUCUACUGGCCGUGGACCUCGGUCCCGGUCACUAAUACCUCGAACAAAUGAGAGCGCAUGAGGCAGGCACCUGUUGCCGGAAUCGAUUAGCAUGGAAUAAUGGAAGAAGAGGGCCGGUGCGUUUUUUCUUUUUCCCGUUUUUUGGUUUCUGCACGGGCUUUUCAUGAGCAAGAGGGGCGGCAUUGGGGGCAUUGGUAUGUGGCUGUCAGAGGUGAAAUUCUUGGAUUUGCUACAGACUGGCGAAGGCGAAGGCAUCUGUCCAGGACGCUUUCAUUGAUCAAGAACGAAAGUUGGGGGAUCGAAGGUGAUUAGAGACCAUUUUAGUCCCAACUGUAAACGAUGUCGGUUGUGGGUUGGGGGAGACGAAUUUUAAGCUCUCUCGGUACACCUCGGGAAACCAAAACGUUUGGAUUCUGGGGGGAGUAUUGUCGCAAGGCUGAAACUUAAAGGAAUUGACGGAAGUUCACUACAACGGCGUGGAUUCUGCGGUUUAAUUUGACCCAACACGGGGAAUCUCACCGGGGCCGGACAUUGAGAGGAUUGACAGAUGGGAGUUCUUUCGAAAUACAAUGGCAGGUGGUGCAUGGCCGAAAAGUUUGUGCUUUGAGGUGCCUGGUUAAUUCCGAUAACGAGCGAGAUUUUUGGUGGGGGUUGCGGCGGCGAACUUUGGUUCGGGCUGCUGCGUUCCCGCGAUGGCCUCAGAAAUGAGGAUGAAAUGAAAGGCAGUUUCAGGUCUGUGAUGCCCUUCGACGUCUGCCGGGCCACACGCGAGAUACAAUGAUGGGGGGAGUGGGUUUUAGGGCGGGGGAAAAUGGGCCGCAAGGCCCGUUUUUCCCUGCCCGGCUGCUGGGGCGAGAGUCUUGGCGAAUCCGACAAUGCCUGUCGUGCUGGGGAUUGAUGCUUGUAAUUUUUCAUCAUGAACGAGGAAUGCCUUGUACGCGCAGUUCAUCAGACUGCGCGGAAUACGUCCCUGAGCUUUGUACACACCGCCCGUCGCUGUCGCCGAUCGAGGGAAGAGGUGAGGCGUGGGGAGGGCUGGUGCUGCGCUGGGCAACUGGUGCGGCGCGGGGCCUGAACCUCAACAAAUCUUUUUUCUUAGAGGCGGCAAAAGUCGUAACAAGGUAGACGUAGGGGAACCUGCGUCUGGAUCA
rnacentral:rRNA from 1 species